UUAUUGGAGAGUUUGAUCCUGGCUCAGGACGAACGCUGGCGGCGUGCCUAAUACAUGCAAGUCGAGCGAAUCGCCGGGAGCUUGCUCCCGGUGGUUAGCGGCGGACGGGUGAGUAACACGUGGGCAACCUGCCUGUAAGACUGGGAUAACUUCGGGAAACCGGAGCUAAUACCGGAUAAUUUCUUCCCUCACAUGAGGGAAGGUUGAAAGUCGGUU
rnacentral:rRNA from 18 species